UGCCGAUGAUGAUUUAAGUGGAAUCGUAUAUUCAUGAUAAUUAUAUGAUUACAACCACACUACUGCCUUCCUUCUGAGGCU